ACACUCCUACGGGAGGCAGCAGUGGGGAAUCUUGCGCAAUGGGCGAAAGCCUGACGCAGCCAUGCCGCGUGAAUGAUGAAGGUCUUAGGAUUGUAAAAUUCUUUCACCGGGGACGAUAAUGACGGUACCCGGAGAAGAAGCCCCGGCUAACUUCGUGCCAGCAGCCGCGGUAAUACGAAGGGGGCUAGCGUUGCUCGGAAUUACUGGGCGUAAAGGGAGCGUAGGCGGACAUUUAAGUCAGGGGUGAAAUCCCGGGGCUCAACCUCGGAAUUGCCUUUGAUACUGGGUGUCUUGAGUAUGAGAGAGGUGUGUGGAACUCCGAGUGUAGGGGUGAAAUUCGUAGAUAUUCGGAAGAACACCAGUGGCGAAGGCGACACACUGGCUCAUUACUGACGCUGAGGCUCGAAAGCGUGGGGAGCAAACAGGAUUAGAUACCCUGGUAGUCCCAUG
rnacentral:rRNA from 1 species